GACGAACGCUGGCGGCGUGCUUAACACAUGCAAGUCGAACGGAAAGGCCCUGCUUUUGUGGGGUGCUCGAGUGGCGAACGGGUGAGUAACACGUGAGUAACCUGCCCUUGACUUUGGGAUAACUUCAGGAAACUGGGGCUAAUACCGGAUAGGAGCUCCUGCUGCAUGGUGGGGGUUGGAAAGUUUCGGCGGUUGGGGAUGGACUCGCGGCUUAUCAGCUUGUUGGUGGGGUAGUGGCUUACCAAGGCUUUGACGGGUAGCCGGCCUGAGAGGGUGACCGGCCACAUUGGGACUGAGAUACGGCCCAGACUCCUACGGGAGGCAGCAGUGGGGAAUAUUGCACAAUGGGCGGAAGCCUGAUGCAGCAACGCCGCGUGCGGGAUGACGGCCUUCGGGUUGUAAACCGCUUUCGCCUGUGACGAAGCGUGAGUGACGGUAAUGGGUAAAGAAGCACCGGCUAACUACGUGCCAGCAGCCGCGGUGAUACGUAGGGUGCGAGCGUUGUCCGGAUUUAUUGGGCGUAAAGGGCUCGUAGGUGGUUGAUCGCGUCGGAAGUGUAAUCUUGGGGCUUAACCCUGAGCGUGCUUUCGAUACGGGUUGACUUGAGGAAGGUAGGGGAGAAUGGAAUUCCUGGUGGAGCGGUGGAAUGCGCAGAUAUCAGGAGGAACACCAGUGGCGAAGGCGGUUCUCUGGGCCUUUCCUGACGCUGAGGAGCGAAAGCGUGGGGAGCGAACAGGCUUAGAUACCCUGGUAGUCCACGCUGUAAACGGUGGGUACUAGGUGUGGGGUCCAUUCCACGGGUUCCGUGCCGUAGCUAACGCUUUAAGUACCCCGCCUGGGGAGUACGGCCGCAAGGCUAAAACUCAAAGGAAUUGACGGGGCCCCGCACAAGCGGCGGAGCAUGCGGAUUAAUUCGAUGCAACGCGUAGAACCUUACCUGGGUUUGACAUGGAUCGGGAGUGCUCAGAGAUGGGUGUGCCUCUUUUGGGGUCGGUUCACAGGUGGUGCAUGGCUGUCGUCAGCUCGUGUCGUGAGAUGUUGGGUUAAGUCCCGCAACGAGCGCAACCCUUGUUCACUGUUGCCAGCACGUUAUGGUGGGGACUCAGUGGAGACCGCCGGGGUCAACUCGGAGGAAGGUGGGGAUGACGUCAAGUCAUCAUGCCCCUUAUGUCCAGGGCUUCACGCAUGCUACAAUGGCUGGUACAGAGAGUGGCGAGCCUGUGAGGGUGAGCGAAUCUCGGAAAGUCGGUCUCAGUUCGGAUUGGGGUCUGCAACUCGACCUCAUGAAGUCGGAGUCGCUAGUAAUCGCAGAUCAGCAACGCUGCGGUGAAUACGUUCCCCGGGGCU
rnacentral:rRNA from 1 species